rnacentral:rRNA from 1 species
AUUGAACGCUGGCGGCAUGCCUUACACAUGCAAGUCGAACGGUAACAGGUCUUCGGAUGCUGACGAGUGGCGAACGGGUGAGUAAUACAUCGGAACGUGCCUAGUAGUGGGGGAUAACUACUCGAAAGAGUGGCUAAUACCGCAUGAGAUCUACGGAUGAAAGCAGGGGAUCGCAAGACCUUGUGCUACUAGAGCGGCCGAUGGCAGAUUAGGUAGUCGGUGGGAUAAAAGCUUACCAAACCGACGAUCUGUAGCUGGUCUGAGAGGACGAUCAGCCACACUGGGACUGAGACACGGCCCAGACUCCUACGGGAGGCAGCAGUGGGGAAUUUUGGACAAUGGGCGAAAGCCUGAUCCAGCAAUGCCGCGUGCAGGAUGAAGGCCUUCGGGUUGUAAACUGCUUUUGUACGGAACGAAAAGCCCUGGGUUAAUACCCUGGGGUCAUGACGGUACCGUAAGAAUAAGCACCGGCUAACUACGUGCCAGCCGCCGCGGUAA